rnacentral:rRNA from 1 species
UACGUAGGGUGCAAGCGUUGUCCGGAAUUAUUGGGCGUAAAGAGCUUGUAGGCGGUUUUGUCGCGUCUGCUGUGAAAUUUCGGGGCUCAACCCCGAACUUGCAGUGGGUACGGGCAGACUAGAGUGUGGUAGGGGAGACUGGAAUUCCUGGUGUAGCGGUGAAAUGCGCAGAUAUCAGGAGGAACACCGAUGGCGAAGGCAGGUCUCUGGGCCAUAACUGACGCUGAGAAGCGAAAGCAUGGGGAGCGAACAGG